rnacentral:rRNA from 1 species
UACGUAGGGUGCAAGCGUUGUCCGGAAUUAUUGGGCGUAAAGAGCUCGUAGGCGGUUUGUCGCGUCUGCUGUGAAACCCGAGGCUCAACCUCGGGCCUGCAGUGGGUACGGGCAGACUAGAGUGCGGUAGGGGAGAUUGGAAUUCCUGGUGUAGCGGUGGAAUGCGCAGAUAUCAGGAGGAACACCAAUGGCGAAGGCAGAUCUCUGGGACGUGACUGACGCUGAGACGCGAAAGCGUGGGGAGCGAACGG